UACGGAGGGUGCAAGCGUUGUUCGGAAUGACUGGGCGUAAAGCGCACGUAGGCGGGUUUGCAAGUCAGAUGUGAAAUCCCCGGGCUCAACCCGGGAACUGCACCUGAAACUGCAGAUCUUGAAUGCUUGAGAGGUUGGUGGAAUUCCUGGUGUAGGAGUGAAAUCCGUAGAUAUCAGGAGGAACACCGGAGGCGAAGGCGGCCAACUGGUGAUGCAUUGACGCUGAGGUGCGAAAGCGUGGGGAGCAAACAGG
rnacentral:rRNA from 1 species